rnacentral:rRNA from 1 species
UACGUAGGCAGCGAGCGUUGUUCGGAGUUACUGGGCGUAAAGGGUGUGUAGGCGGUUUUCUAAGUCGGAUGUGAAAUCCCCAGGCUCAACCUGGGAACUGCAUCCGAUACUGGAUGGCUUGAAUUCGGGAGAGGGAUGCAGAAUUCCAGGUGUAGCGGUGAAAUGCGUAGAUAUCUGGAGGAAUACCGGUGGCGAAGGCGGCAUCCUGGACCGACAUUGACGCUGAGGAGCGAAAGCCAGGGGAGCAAACGGG